GCAGAAUCAGGAUAUAAGACACUUAGCCCUGACCAUGUGAGUCACCAAAGGAGUUAGAGGUCUGGACCUUUCUCCGGGGCCAGAAAACUGCUGAGCAGAGAGUAGAAACACCAGGAAUCCUUCAAUGGCAGCUGUCAUCAUGUGUGGAUAUGUCUUGGGUCUGGUUGGUGCUCCAGCUUGCCAGUCCAUGCCUCCCAUGAGCUGAGGAGAUGAGGAGAAAGCUCUGGGUGGCUGAUGGAUGCAAACUGAAAGAAGAUUGGGCUCACCUUUAUCUGUUUCCAUGUUCACAGAAGAGAGUUUCUUGCCUGUGUGAGGCUGGGAGACUAUUUACUGGAGCAAAGACCUGCAGUCAGAGAAGACAGAGGAUGUUUUAGUUAUGCUUCCUGUUGUUUUGAAAAAAUAAAAAUACCCUGAAGAAAGCAACUCUGGGGGCUGGAGAGAUGGCUCAGUGGUUAUGAGAGCAUUCUGGCCUUGCAGAGGAUCCAAGGUUGGUUCCCAGCACCCACAAUGGGCAGCUCCCAACUGCCUGUAACUGUUUACCCAGGGAAUCU
rnacentral:lncRNA from 1 species